ensembl:snRNA U1 U1 spliceosomal RNA
AUACUUACCUGGCAGGGGAGAUACCAUGAUCACGAAGGUGGUUUUCCCAGGGCGAGGCUUAUCCAUUGCACUCCGGAUGUGCUGACCCCUGCGAUUUCCCCAAAUGUGGGAAACUCGACUGAAAAAAA